AGCUCAGCAUUGGGCGUAAAGCGUGCGCAGGCGGUUUUGUAAGACAGAGGUGAAAUCCCCGGGCUCAACCUGGGAACUGCCUUUGUGACUGCAAGGCUGGAGUGCGGCAGAGGGGGACGGAAUUCCGCGUGUAGCAGUGAAAUGCGUAGAUAUGCGGAGGAACACCGAUGGCGAAGGCAAUCCCCUGGGCCUGCACUGACGCUCAUGCACGAAAGCGUGGGGAGCAAACA
rnacentral:rRNA from 1 species